rnacentral:rRNA from 1 species
GGUAACUUGUUUUGAUAAUCAGAUAUUUCUGGAUCAUUUAAUCACUUAUUUGGUGUAAUUUAUAAAGGUUGUUUUUACCUGUGUCGCCCCAACAUAACAGAUUUAAUUCUUGUAUUUAGAUAUUAGGGUUAUUAAGAUUUUGUCUGUAAAGUUCUAUAGGGUCUUCUCGUCUUUUUUUUUAAUCAAAGCUUUUUAACUAUGAAAUUAAUUUAAAUUAUGGGAAGGAGAGACAGUUGGCUUUUCGUUAAAUCUUUCAUACUGGCCUUUAAUUAAAAGGCUAUUGAUUGUGCUACCUUUGCACGGUUAUGAAUACCGCGGCUCUUUAAAUUUGUAUAUCAGGGUGCAGAUUUUACUCCUUAAUCGUGGAGAGGAGAA